GAACAGCGUCAGUGAGAAAUCCUGCACUGCUUUGGCUUCAGCUCUCUGUACAAAUCCAUCACACAUCAGAGAGCUGGAUCUGCGUUGGUGUAAACUGGGAGACUCAGGAGUGGAGAAGCUCUGUGAUCUACUGAAGAAACACGAGUGUAAACUGGAGACACUGCGGUGAGUAACUCAGUGAUGAAACACUGAACUGAGAUCACAAUCUUUAAUAGUUUUCUGUGAAUCAGAGCUUUCCAGAUGCACACGAACAAAACUGACAAGAUCUUCAUCUCUGUAUUAACAUCUGUGUUUGUGUUACAUUCACGAUGAGUUCAUGAAUCUCUUCAUGUUCACACGUACGUCAUUAUCUCCCUGUCUGCAGGUUAUGUCAGUGCAGAAUAACAGAGAGAGGCGGUGCUGCUCUGACUGCAGCUCUGAGCUCAAACUCCUCACAUCUGAAAGAGCUGGAUCUGAGAGGGAAUGAACUAAAAGAUUCACUCACACAGCUCGAGGAGUUGCUGAAAAGUUCAGGAGGCCGGCUAAUAUGAUAUUAGACCACAUGGGAGAAAAUGAAAGCUCGGGUUUGCUAUUACACGUUACGUCCCUGGUAUUAGAAAUUCUGAUCAGCAGCCGACUUUAGAAAGUGAGUCGUCGACACUGCAGCAUGACCAAAGAGAGGGAAAAAUGGAACUCGUCCCACAGUGAGGAAGCAGUGUGGACAAUGUCUCCAGCGAGCCAGACCAGGGCAGGAGGGGGAACACAACAAAGGACUGCACAGAGAAAAGUCACACCAGUAGUUCACAGAAUCUACAAAAUAAAGGCUACACAAGCGUUCCCACCUCCAAACCACAAAACAACAUGGACUAGAAAAGAACAAAAAAAUCCCUCACCAAUACAGGCUACAAACAUCCUGGUGACUGACGCUCAGAUUUCACUCAGUCCAUUUACUGAAAAGGAAGUUUGUUCUGGUUUCUGUUCCUUUCUUCUGCAAAGGAACUUUCAGAGCUGAACACAGUGAACGGGUUUGUUUAAUAAAUAUCACAUGGACAACUUCAUUUGUAAUGAAAGCACCGAUAACCCUCACUCUCUAAUCCCACACACACUGAAACACACAUUAUGGGAAGAAUGUUAGAAAGUCGGACUCUGCUGUCGUUCUCAUUCACACACACACAGACUUUUUGUUUGUUUUUUAAUAAAUUAAUUUUGUUACAAAAA